GACGAACGUUGGCGGCGUGCCUUACACAUGCAAGUCGUACGCGAAAGGGUGAACCGGCUUGCCGGGGAUCCCGAGUAGAGUGGCGAACGGGAGCGUAACACGUGAGAAACCUGCCUUGGAGUGGGGAAUAACUUCGAGAAAUCGGAGCCAAUUCCGCAUGAUGCAGCGGCCCCGCAUGGGACGAGUUGUUAAAGAACGGCCUCUGCUUGCAGGCCGUCGCUUCGAGAUGUCUCGCGGCCUAUCAGCUAGUUGGUGAGGUAAUGGCUCACCAAGGCGACGACGGGUAGCCGGCCUGAGAGGGUGUCCGGCCUCAUUGGGACGUGAGACACGGCCCAGACUCCUACGGAGGCAGCAGUGAGGAAUCUUGCGCAAUGGGCGAAAGCCUGACGCAGCGACGCCGCGUGAGGGAUGAAGGCCUUC
rnacentral:rRNA from 1 species